rnacentral:rRNA from 1 species
AGAGUUUGAUUAUGGCUCAGGAUGAACGCUGGCGGCGUGCUUAACACAUGCAAGUCGAACGGACCUGUACUGAAACCUAGUGAUUUACAGGUUAGUGGCGGACGGGUGAGUAACGCGUGGAAAACCUGCCGUAUACUGGGGGAUAACACUUAGAAAUAGGUGCUAAUACCGCAUAAGCGCACAGACCCGCAUGGGACAGUGUGGAAAACAAAAAGCUAAAGCUUUUUAUGGUAUACGAUGGUUCCGCGUCUGAUUAGCUUGUUGGCGGGAUAACGGCCCACCAAGGCGACGAUCAGUAGCCGGCCUGAGAGGGUGAACGGCCACAUUGGGACUGAGACACGGCCCAGACUCCUACGGGAGGCAGCACCGGGGAAUAUUGCACAAUGGGGGAAACCCUGAUGCAGCGACGCCGCGUGAGUGAAGAAGUAUCUCGGUACGUAAAGCUCUAUCAGCAAGGAAGAAAAAAAGUCUUUGGCUUUGGACGGUACCUGACUAAAAAGCCCCGGCUAACUACGUGCCAACAGCCGCGGUAAUACGUA